rnacentral:tRNA from 1 species
GCUCAGGUGGUGGAAUUGGUAGACACGCACGCUUGAGGGGCGUGUGGCUUUUGCUGUGCGGGUUCGAGUCCCGCCCUGAGCA